GUUGAACGCUAGCUACAGGCUUAACACAUGCAAGUCGAGGGACCGGCGCACGGGUGAGUAACACGUAUCCAACCUGCCCUUUACUCGGUGAUAACCUUUCGCAAGAAAGAUUAAUACCCGACAUAAAGGAUGGGGAUGCGUUCCAUUAGGUUGUUGGUGAGGUACCGGCUCACCAAGCCUUCGAUGGCUAGGGGUUCUGAGAGGAAUGUACCCCAAAUGUGAACUGAGAAACGGUCCAAACUCGUACGGGAGGCAGAAGGGAGGAAUAUGGGUGAAUGGGCGCUAGCCUGAAACAGCCAAGUAGCGUGAAGGAUGAAGGCUUAUGGGUCGUAAACUGCUGAGAUAGAAGAAUAUGUAUUAGAUGAAGAAGGAUCGGCUAACUCCGUGCCAGCAGCCGCGGUAAUGC
rnacentral:rRNA from 1 species